GGGAUAACAGGAGGAAACUCCUGCUAAUACCGCAUAGCCAUGAGCACCGCAUGGAGCUCAUGCCAAAUAUCCUUUCGAGGAUAGCGCAGGGAUGGACCUAUGGCGCAUUAGCUGGUUGGCGGGGCAACGGCCCACCAAGGCAACGAUGCGUAGCCGGCCUGAGAGGGCGGACGGCCACAUUGGGACUGAGACACGGCCCAGACUCCUACGGGAGGCAGCAGUAGGGAAUUUUCGGCAAUGGGGGAAACCCUGACCGAGCAACGCCGCGUGAGCGAAGAAGGCCUUCGGGUCGUAAAGCUCUGUUGUAAAGGAAGAACGGCGCAUACAGGAAAUGGUAUGCGAGUGACGGUACUUUACCAGAAAGCCACGGCUAACUACGUGCCAGCAGCCGCGGUAAUACGUAGGUGGCGAGCGUUAUCCGGAAUCAUUGGGCGUAAAGAGGGAGCAGGCGGCCGCAAGGGUCUGUGGUGAAAGACCGAAGCUAAACUUCGGUAAGCCAUGGAAACCGGGCGGCUAGAGUGCGGAAGAGGAUCGUGGAAUUCCAUGUGUAGCGGUGAAAUGCGUAGAUAUAUGGAGGAACACCAGUGGCGAAGGCGACGGUCUGGGCCGCAACUGACGCUCAUU
rnacentral:rRNA from 1 species